UACAGAGGGUGCGAGCGUUAAUCGGAAUUACUGGGCGUAAAGCGUGCGUAGACGGUUAUUUAAGUCGGGUGUGAAAGCCCCGGGCUCAACCUGGGAAUUGCAUUCGAGACUGAAUAGCUAGGGUACGGUAGAGGGAAGUGGAAUUUCCGGUGUAGCGGUGAAAUGCGUAGAUAUCUGGAGGAACACCGGUGGCGAAGGCGGAUCUCUGGGCCUUACCUGACGCUGAGGCGCGAAAGCUAGGGGAGCGAACAGG
rnacentral:rRNA from 1 species